rnacentral:tRNA from 1 species
GCUCAGUUGGUAGAGCAUGGUGUUUGCAACACCAGGGUUGUGGGUUCGAUUCCCAC